rnacentral:lncRNA from 1 species
CAAGAAAGUCAAAUCUCUCACUGCCUCUAUUACUUCCAUUCGGGAAUUAAGUAGUUAUAAAAACAAAAGAGUGGCCAAAACCCAGAUAAUGCAAUCAGGUAACCUGCCAGACAGGAGAGAACACACUCAGCAUUCUGUUUUAGACCGCCCCCUGUGAUAUAUGUAUGAUGUAUUGGGGGGGUGGUCCUGGGCUACACCCCUUCUGUGAUGUAUGUAUGAUAUUUCUGGGGGUGGUCUGGAGUUUAAGGAUGUGCAAUUUCAAAAGUCUAUAUGAGGGCAGGCACAUCUUUGUUCUGGGUUCCUCCUCUUUCCUGCUGGUGGCGAGUGAGGACUCUGUUGCAACAGUUUAAUAAAGAACAGGCUUACUCGCUGCUUUGCUUCUCAAUAUUCUCUGGUUGGUCUCUGUUAUUUUCUCCUACUGAUAGAGAACCUACAAAAGGACUGUAUAUGGGCUCUUGGGUACCCCGUAAGGGAAAAGGAGCAGGGGUUUUUUUCUCAUAACAGUUUGCAAACACAGAGUUGAUGGACACAGUUCAUCUUCAGUAGCAGCUAUGAUUAAGAUGAGCCCCAUUCGGUACCAAUGCACUUUUGGCCAGAGAUUUUCGCAGGAUGUAGAACACAAUGUUUGCAGCUCCAAACAGGAGUUCAUAUGCACCGUGUUGCCGGCGGGGAGGUGUGUGUGUGAGAGAUUGAGUAAUCUGUUCUGGUCAGGCACAGCGAGGCGAGAAACUGGGUGAGAGUUUAUCAUUUGGGGAGAAGACCAAAAUGCAGGAAACCAAUCAGAAAGUGGUAGGAGGAUCAAAGGCAAUGAGCUGGAAGAGCAGAGAGGAGGAAGGAACUACCGGUAAGUCAGUGCAAGAGGUUAGGGGUGAAGGGAACAGUGGAGCUAGAGGAACCAAGUAAGAGAAGGAGGGACAAGGACCAGAAGAGAAACUGGACCCAGGGUCGGACCUGACACUUGUGCUUGCAAGCUAGGAUGCUGUUCCAUGUAAGAACCAAUUGGUUAGCAUUUGUUGCUCUUUCCUUUGUGGAUACUUG